rnacentral:rRNA from 1 species
CACGGGGGGAGCAAGCGUUGUUCGGAAUCACUGGGCGUAAAGGGCGUGUAGGCGGUUAGGUAAGUGGAAUGUGAAAUCCCUCGGCUCACCCGAGGACCUGCAUCCCAAACUGCCUGACUUGAGUAUGGGAGAGGAUGAGGGAAUUCCUGGUGUAGCGGUGAAAUGACGUAGAUAUCAGGAGGAACACCGGUGGCGAAGGCGCUCAUCUGGCCCAAUACUGACGCUGAGGCGCGAAAGCUAGGGGAGCAAACGGG